UUGUUUGGUCUACAUUUUGAUUUGCAUCCGAGUGCAAUUGCUGCAUUCACACCUGCCCAAAUGAACCGCACCAAGGGGGAAACCCAACUCUAGUGUGAUUCAAUCGGACUAAAUGAGUCUGGUGUGAAAGCCCCCUAUA